GCCGGGCGCGGUGGCUCUUGCCUGUAAUCCCAGCACUUUGGGAGGCUGAGGCAGGUGGAUCACUUGAGGUCAGGAGUUCGAGACCAGCCUGACCAACAUGGUGAAACCCUGUCUCUA
ensembl:misc_RNA Metazoa_SRP Metazoan signal recognition particle RNA